GACGAACGCUGGCGGCGUGCUUAACACAUGCAAGUCGAGCGGUAAGGCCUCUUCGGGGGUACACGAGCGGCGACCGGGUGCGUAACAGGGGGGUGACCUGCCCUAAGCUCUGGGUUAAGCCUGGGAACGUGGGUCAACUUCCGGUAAUGCCCUUUCCUCGCUUGGGGUUUGGGGGAAAGUUUUUGCGGCGGGGGAUGGGCCCGCGGCCUAUCAGCUUGUUGGUGGGGUGAUGGCCUACCAAGGCGACGACGGGUAGCCGGCCUGAGAGGGCGACCGGCCACCCCGGGACGGAGACACGGCCCAGACUCCUACGGGAGGCAGCAGUGGGGAAUAUUGCGCAAUGGGCGGAAGCCUGACGCAGCGACGCCGCGUGGGGGAUGACGGCCUUCGGGUUGUAAACCUCUUUCGACCCCGACGAAUUUGGACGGUAGGGGUAGAAGAAGCACCGGCCAACUACGUG
rnacentral:rRNA from 1 species